CCUACGUGUGGCAGCAGUGAGGAAUAUUGGUCAAUGGGCGCGAGCCUGAACCAGCCAAGUCGCGUGAGGGAAGACGGUCCUAUGGAUUGUAAACCUCUUUUGUCGGGGAGCAAAAGACGCCACGCGUGGCGUUCCGAGAGUACCCGAAGAAAAAGCAUCGGCUAACUCCGUUCCAGCAGCCGCGGUAAUACGGAGGAUGCGAGCGUUAUCCGGCUUUCUUGGGUUUAAGGGGUGCGCAGGCGGAAGAGCAAUGCAGCGGUAAAAGUGAGAGGCUCAACCUCUUCGAGCCGUUGAAACUGGUUUUCUUGAGUGAGUGAGAAGUAUGCGGAAUGCGUGGUGUAGCGGUGAAAUGCAUAGAUAUCACGCAGAACUCCGAUUGCGAAGGCAGCAUACCGGCGCUCAACUGACGCUCAUGCACGAAAGUGUGGGUAUCGAACAGGAUUAGAUACCCGGGUAGUC
rnacentral:rRNA from 1 species